UACGAAGGUCCCAAGCGUUAUCCGGAUUUAUUGGGUUUAAAGGGUGCGUAGGCGGGCUAUUAAGUCAGUGGUGAAAUCUCCGAGCCUAACUCGGAAAUUGCCAUUGAUACUGAUGGUCUUGAGUACAUUUGAAGUGGGCGGAAUGUGUCAUGUAGCGGUGAAAUGCUUAGAUAUGACACAGAACACCGAUAGCGUAGGCAGCUCACUAAACUGUAACUGACGCUGAGGCACGAAAGCGUGGGGAGCAAACAGG
rnacentral:rRNA from 1 species